rnacentral:rRNA from 1 species
GGUUCGAUCAUGGCUCAGAUUGAACGCUGGCGGGAUGGCACAUGCAAGUCGAACGGCAGCACGGACUUCGGUCUGGUGGCGAGUGGCGAACGGGUGAGUAAUGUAUCGGAACGUGCCUAGUAGCGGGGGAUAACUACGCGAAAGCGUAGCUAAUACCGCAUACGCCCUUCGGGAAAGCGGGGGACCUUCGGGCCUCGCACUAUUAGAGCGGCCGAUAUCGGAUUAGCUAGUUGGUGGGGUAACGGCUCACCAAGGCGACGAUCCGUAGCUGGUUCCCGAGAGGACGACCAGCCACACUGGGACUGAGACACGGCCCAGACUCCUACGGGAGGCAGCAGUGAAAUUUUGGACAAUGGGGAAACCCUGAUCCAGCCAUCCCGCGUGCGAUGAAGGCCUUCGGGUUGUAAAGCACUUUUGGCAGGAAAGAAACGGCACGGGAUAAUACCCCGUGCAACUGACGGUACCUGCAGAAUAAGCCGGCUAACUACGUGCCAGCAGCCGCGGUAAUACGUAGGGUGCAAGCGUUAAUCGGAAUUACUGGGCGUAAAGCGUGCGCAGGCGGUUCGGAAGAAAGAUGUGAAAUCCCAGAGCUUAACUUUGGAACUGCAUUUUUAACUACCGAGCUAGAGUGUGUCAGAGGGAGGUGGAAUUCCCACGCGUGUAGCAGUGAAAUGCGUAGAUAUGCGGAGGAACACCGAUAGCGAAGGCAACCUCCUGGGAUAACACUGACGCUCAUGCACGAAAGCGUAGAGGGGAGCAAACGGGAUUAGAUACCCUGGUAGUCCACGCCUAAACGAUGUCAACUAGCUGUUGGGGCCUUCGGGCCUUGGUAGCGCAGCUAACCGUGAAGUUGACCGCCUGGGGAGUACGGUCGCAAGAUUAAAACUCAAAGGAAUUGACGGGGACCCGCACAAGCGGUGGAUGAUGUGGAUUAAUUCGAUGCAACGCGAAAAGCCUUACCUACCCUUGACAUGUCUGAAUCCCGAAGAGAUUUGGGAGUGCUCGCAAGAGAACCGGAACACAGGUGCUGCAUGGCUGUCAUCAGCUCGUGUCGUGAGAUGUUGGGUUAGAUCCACAACGAGCGCAACCCUUGUCAUUAGUUGCUACGAAGGGCACUCUAAUGAGACUGCCGGUGAUAAACCGGAGGAAGGUGGGGAUGACGUCAAGUCCUCAUGGCCCUUAUGGGUAAGGGCUUCACACGUCAUACAAUGGUCGGGACAGAGGGUCGCCAACCCGCGAAGAGAGGCCAAUCCCAGAAACGAUCGUAGUCCGGAUCGCAGUCUGCAACUCGACUGCGUGAGGUGGAGAUCGCUAAUCGCGGAUCAGCAUGUCGCGGUGAAUACGUUCGGGUCUUGUACACACCGCCCGUCACCAUGGGAGUGGGUUUUACCGAAGUAGUUAGCCUAACCGUAAGGAGGGCGAUUACCACGGUAGGAUUCAUGACUGGGGUGAAGUCGUAACAAGGUAA